GACGAACGCUGGCGGCGUGCUUAACACAUGCAAGUCGAACGAAAAGGCCAGGCUUUUGUGGGUUGCUCGAUUGGCGAACGGGGGAGUAACACGUGUGUAUCCCCCCCUUACCUUUGGGAUAACUUCAGGAAACUGGGGCUAUUACCGGAUAGAAUCUCCUGCUCCAUGGGGGGGGUUGGAAAGUUUCGGCGGUGGGGGAUGGACUCGCGGCUUAUCAGCUUGUUGGUGGGGUAGUGGCUGACCAAGGCUUUGACGGGUAGCCGGCCUGAGAGGGUGACCGGCGACAUUGGGACUGAGAUACGGACCAGACUCCUACGGGAGGCAGCAGGGGGGAAUAUUGCACAAUGGGCGGAAGCCUGAUGCAGCAACGCCGCGUGCGGGAUGACCGCCUUCGGGUUGUAAACCGCUUUCGCCUGUGACGAAGAGUGAGUGACGGUAAUGGGUAAAGAAGCAACGGCUAACUACGUG
rnacentral:rRNA from 1 species